CCUACGGGUGACAGCAGUGGGGAAUAUUGCGCAAUGGGCGAAAGCCUGACGCAGCGACGCCGCGUGAGGGAUGAAGGUCUUCGGAUCGUAAACCUCUGUCAGCAGGGAAGAACGGUCACUGUGCUAAUCAGCAGUGAAUUGACGGUACCUGCAAAGGAAGCACCGGCUAACUACGUGCCAGCAGCCGCGGCAAUACGUAGGGGGCAAGCGUUAUCCGGAUUUACUGGGUGUAAAGGGAGCGUAGACGGCGAUGCAAGUCUGAAGUGAAAGGCGGGGGCCCAACCCCCGGAGUGGAGUGGAAACUGGAUGUCUGGAGUGCAGGAGAGGUAAGCGGAAUUCGUGGUGUAGCGGUGAAAUGCGUAGAUAUCACGAAGAACACCGGUGGCGAAGGCGGCUUACUGGACUGUAACUGACGUUGAGGCUCGAAAGCGUGGGGAGCAAACAGGAUUAGAUACCCUAGUAGUC
rnacentral:rRNA from 1 species